UACGAAGGGGGCUAGCGUUGCUCGGAAUCACUGGGCGUAAAGGGUGCGUAGGCGGGUCUUUAAGUCAGGGGUGAAAUCCUGGAGCUCAACUCCAGAACUGCCUUUGAUACUGAGAUCUUGAGUUCGGGAGAGGUGAGUGGAACUGCGAGUGUAGAGGUGAAAUUCGUAGAUAUUCGCAAGAACACCAGUGGCGAAGGCGGCUCACUGGCCCGAUACUGACGCUGAGGCACGAAAGCGUGGGGAGCAAACAGGAU
rnacentral:rRNA from 1 species